GGCCACUGCUAUUAGAGUCCGACUAAACCAUGCGAGUCGAGAGGGGUUAAGCCCUCGGCAACCGGCUCGGUAACGCACGGUCAACCUACCUUAUGGAGGGGGAUAACCUCGGGAAACUGAGGAUAAUAUCCCAUAGGUCUUUUGUUCUGGAAUGAUAUUAGACUGAAAGCUCCGGCGCCAUAAGAUGGGACCGUGUCCUAUCAAGCUGUUGGUAGGGUAAUGGCCUACCAAACUUACGACGGGUAUGGGUCUUGGGAGAGAUAGCCCAGAGUUGGGGACUGAGACAAGGCCCCAGGCCCUACGGGGCGCAGCAGGUGCGAAAUCUCCACAAUGCACGCAGGUGCGAUGGGGGGACUCUGAGUGCUUAUCCUUUGGGUAAGCUUUUCUGAAGUUUAAAACGCUUCAGGAAUAAGGGCUGGGCAAGAUCGGUGCCAGCAGCCGCGGUAAUCCCGGCGGCCCGAGUGGUGGCCAUUUUUACUGGGCUUGAAGCGUUCGUAGCUGGACCAAUCCGUCUCUGGUUAAAUCCCCAAGCUUAACUUGGGGGCCGCUGGAGAUACCAUUGGUCUAGGGACCGGGAGAGGGAAGAGGUAUUACGCGGGUAGGGGUAAAAUCCGUUAAUCCGCGUAGGACCACCAGUAGCGAAGGCGUCUUCCUGGAACGGGUCCGACAGUGAGGAACGAAAGCCAGGGGAGCAAAU
rnacentral:rRNA from 1 species